rnacentral:rRNA from 1 species
GGUAGCAAUACCGCUGACGACCGGCGCACGGGUGAGUAACACGUAUCCAACCUUCCCAUAACUCGGGGAUAGCCUUUCGAAAGAAAGAUUAAUACCCGAUAGUACUUUAUUAAGGCAUCUUAAGAAAGUUAAAGAUUUGUUGGUUAUGGAUGGGGAUGCGUUCCAUUAGAUAGUUGGUGAGGUAACGGCUCACCAAGUCUUCGAUGGAUAGGGGUUCUGAGAGGAAGGUCCCCCACAUUGGUACUGAGACACGGACCAAACUCCUACGGGAGGCAGCAGUGAGGAAUAUUGGUCAAUGGGCGAGAGCCUGAACCA